rnacentral:rRNA from 1 species
UGGGUAAUCUACCUCCUAGUGGGGAAUAACCCUGGGAAACCGGGGCUAAUACCGCAUAAGCCCGCAAGGGGAAAGCAGCAAUGCGCUGAGAGAGGAGCCCGCGGCUGAUUAGCUAGUUGGUGGGGUAAUGGCCCACCAAGGCUAAGAUCGGUAGCCGGCCUGAGGGGGCACACGGCCACACUGGCACUGAAACACGGGCCAGACUCCUACGGGAGGCAG